CACGUAGGGCGCGAGCGUUGUCCGGAAUUAUUGGGCGUAAAGAGCUCGUAGGCGGCCUGUUGCGUCCGCUGUGAAAGCCCGGGGCUUAACCCCGGGUCUGCAGUGGAUACGGGCAGGCUAGAGGUAGGUAGGGGAGAAUGGAAUUCCCGGUGUAGCGGUGAAAUGCGCAGAUAUCGGGAGGAACACCGGUGGCGAAGGCGGCUCACUGGCCCGGUACUGACGCUGAGGUGCGAAAGCGUGGGGAGCAAACAGG
rnacentral:rRNA from 1 species